UACGUAGGGGGCAAGCGUUGUCCGGAAUCAUUGGGCGUAAAGAGCGUGUAGGCGGCCAGAUAAGUCCGCUGUGAAAUCUCGAGGCUCAACUUCGAGCUGUCGGUGGAAACUGUCUGGCUAGAGUCCGGAAGAGGAGAAUGGAAUUCCUGGUGUAGCGGUGAAAUGCGCAGAUAUCAGGAAGAACACACGUGGCGAAGGCGGUUCUCUGGGACGGUACCGACGCUGAGACGCGAAAGCGUGGGGAGCGAACAGG
rnacentral:rRNA from 1 species